CCUGCCGGACCUGACUGCUAUCGGAUUGAUACUAAGCCAUGCGAGUCUUUGCAGUAAUGCAAGGCAUACGGCUCAGUAACACGUAGUCAACCUACCCUAUGGACGAGAAUAAUCUCGGGAAACUGAGCAUAAUUCUUGAUAGAUCAUAAUGCCUGGAAUGGUUUAUGGUUAAAAUGAUUCGUCGCCAUAGGAUGGGACUGCGGCCUAUCAGCUUGUUGGUGAGGUAAUGGCCCACCAAGGCGAUUACAGGUACGGGCUCUGAGAGGAGAAGCCCGGAGAUGGGUACUGAGACACGGACCCAGGCCCUAUGGGGCGCAGCAGGCGAGAAAACUUUGCAAUGUGCGAAAGCACGACAAGGUUAAUCCGAGUGAUUUCUGCUAAAGAAAUCUUUUGCCAGUCAUAAAACCACUGGUGAAUAAGGGGUGGGCAAGUUCUGGUGUCAGCCGCCGCGGUAAAACCAGCACCUCAAGUGGUCAGGAUGAUUAUUGGGCCUAAAGCAUCCGUAGCCGGCUUUGUAAGUUUUCGGUUAAAUCCAUGUGCUCAACGCAUGGGCUGCCGAAAAUACUGCAUGGCUAGGGAGUGGGAGAGGUAGACGGUACUCAGUAGGAAGGGGUAAAAUCCUUUGAUCUAUUGAUGACCACCUGUGGCGAAGGCGGUCUACCAGAACACGUUCGACGGUGAGGGAUGAAAGCUGGGGGAGCAAACCGGAUUAGAUACCCGGGUAGUCCCAGCUGUAAACGAUGCAGACUCGAUGAUGCAUUGGCAUAAUAGCCAGUGCAGUGUCUCAGGGAAGCCGUUAAGUCUGCCGCCUGGGAAGUACGUACGCAAGUAUGAAACUUAAAGGAAUUGGCGGGGGAGCACCACAAGGGGUGAAGCCUGCGGUUCAAU
rnacentral:rRNA from 1 species